rnacentral:rRNA from 1 species
UCUUCCCUCUUUCUUCGUGCCUAAUACAUGCAAGUCGAGCGAACAGACGAGGAGCUUGCUCCUCUGACGUUAGCGGCGGACGGGUGAGUAACACGUGGAUAACCUACCUAUAAGACUGGGAUAACUUCGGGAAACCGGAGCUAAUACCGGAUAAUAUAUUGAACCGCAUGGUUCAAUAGUGAAAGACGGUUUUGCUGUCACUUAUAGAUGGAUCCGCGCCGCAUUAGCUAGUUGGUAAGGUAACGGCUUACCAAGGCAACGAUGCGUAGCCGACCUGAGAGGGGUAGCGGCCACCAUGGAACUGAAACAGGGCCCAGACCCCCAGGGGGGGCCGCGGUAGGGAAUCUGCCGCAAGGGGGAAAAGCCUGACGGAGCAACGCCGGGGGAGGGAAGAAGGUCUUCGGAUUGUAAAACUCUGUUAUUAGGGAAAAAAAAAUGUGUAAGUAACUAUCCCCGUUUGGACGGUACCUAACAAGAAAGCCAAGGCAAAAUACGG